UGUGGGUGUGAUCCACAAAGCUACAUCUCCACUGUUACGUUUUGGAUUAAAAAGGAAUAUCUCCUGCUACGUUUCCCCCUCUCAUUCCCCCUGCUCUGGUGUUUGCCCCUCUCAUUCCUCCUGCU